rnacentral:rRNA from 1 species
UGAGGAAUAUUGGUCAAUGGGCGAGAGCCUGAACCAGCCAAGCCGCGUGAGGGAAGAAGGCGCUCAGCGUCGUAAACCUCUUUAGCCGGGGGACAAAACCUCCUCGCGAAGGAGGCUUGAGAGUACCCGGAGAAUAAGCAUCGGCUAACUACGUGCCAGCAGCCGCGGUAAUACGUAGGUGGCAAGCGUUGUCCGGAAUUAUUGGGCGUAAAGCGCGCGCAGGCGGCUUCUUAAGUCCAUCUUAAAAGUGCGGGGCUUAACCCCGUGAUGGGAUGGAAACUGAGAGGCUGGAGUAUCGGAGAGGAAAGUGGAAUUCCUAGUGUAGCGGUGAAAUGCGUAGAGAUUAGGAAGAACACCGGUGGCGAAGGCGACUUUCUGGACGACAACUGACGCUGAGGCGCGAAAGCGUGGGGAGCAAACAGGAUUAGAUACCCUGGUAGU